rnacentral:rRNA from 1 species
UGAUGUGGAUUUUUCAUUCUUCAUGUCUGGCCCUUCUUGUCUUUUCACCUGCAGAUUGUUCACCCACCAACAGGGAAUUUGCUGGGAUGACUGUCAUCAGACAAGCCCAUCUCACC